UUGAGGACAGCUACAGUUGACUGACUCUGUGUGUUUGCAUAUCUGUCCUGCCUCUCUGCUCCCAGCCGUUAAGAGGCCAGUGUUGAUCAGUGGCUGUCCAGGCCUUUCAGAGCCACUGACACGCCGGCAGCACAAUCAUCAUGUCUCUGACUCUACUGCUGGCCACCCUGGGGCUCCUUGUUCAGGGUUCAUCAGGAGAAAUCACAGUGACUCAGUCUCCUGGAUCUCAGUCUGUUGUUCUGGGACAGACUGUCUCUAUCAGAUGUAAAGCCAGUUCAAGUGUUAGUAGCUACCUCAACUGGUACCUUCAGAAACCUGGAGAAGCUCCUAAACUCCUGAUUUAUUCUGCUACAACCCGUCAGUCUGGAGUUUCAGAUCGUUUUAGUGGAAGUGGAUCUGGGACUGACUACACUCUGACCAUCAGUAGAGUUCAGGCUGAAGAUGCAGGAGUUUAUUAUUGUGGACAGAGUUAUAGCGGGUUCACACAGUGAUACAACGUCGUACAAAAACCUCCCUCAGC